CAUAACUUGUACCUAAAUUUUGAUAUGCUUUUUAGGUAUCAAAUGAUUUAUUCUUGGUGCUUAGUGCAUAAUUAGGACAUUGAAAUUCAAACCAGGAAAAAGGUUUAUAAUUAAAAAGCCAAAAAAAUGUUGAAAAAAAACAAGGUUGAAGGCUUUAAGCGUCGAAGUUAUGCUCGUUGUUUUCUGAGUUAUUCGUCAAUCGGGUUAAUUUAUGUUUGGCGUGCCUUCUCGCCAGUUGGACUGUUGUUAGCAGUGCAAGUAAUUUUUCAGAGGGGUUAAUGGUGGAUCAACAAUAAAGUUGAGAGCCUAGAUACUCAGGGUUGAUGAAAUAUCAGUAUUAUCAUUGAGAGAGUAGAUACCCAAGGUUAAUGAUUGAUCGGUACUGGAACCGAGAGAUGGUAACCGGGUGGAUUGACACAGCAGUCGAGAGCUUUUAUUUGUACGGUGGAUCAACACUAGAGCCGAGAGCCAUGUUUGUAUGCAUAGUAUGUGUAUUGUGGUAUAUGAUAUUUUUGGGAACUCACUAAGCUUCAUGUUUAUAGUUGUGGAAUAAAUGUUUUUCAGGUAAUUCUACUAUCAAAAGAAUGGCCCAACUUGACUGUACUACACGCAUGUUGCUAUUAAUUUAGUUACAGACUUCCUUAUUUUACGUAA